rnacentral:rRNA from 1 species
GGGUCAGUAGGUUGGUCGUGCCACCGGUACGUACUGGUCUCACUGAUUCCUCCUUCCUGAAGAACCGUAAUGCCAUUAAUUUGGUGUUGCGAGGAAACAGGACUGUUACUUUGAAAAAAUUAGAGUGUUUAAAGCAAGCUAACGCUUGAAUACACUAGCAUGGAAUAAUGAAAUAGGACGAUCGAUCCUAUUUUGUUGGUUUCUAGGAUUGACGUA